rnacentral:rRNA from 1 species
CUACGGGGGGCAGCAGUAAGGAAUAUUGGACAAUGGGGGCAACCCUGAUCCAGCCAUGCCGCGUGAGUGAAGAAGGCCUUCGGGUUGUAAAGCUCUUUUAGAUGUGACGAUGAUGACGGUAACAUCAGAAAAAGCCCCGGCUAACUUCGUGCCAGCAGCCGCGGUAAUACGAAGGGGGCGAGCGUUGUUCGGAAUCACUGGGCUUAAAGCGUACGUAGGCGGAUUGACAAGUCAGAAGUGAAAGCCCAGGGCUUAACCCUGGAACUGCUUUUGAAACUGUCAGUCUGGAAUCCGGUAGAGGUUGGCGGAACUCCGAGUGUAGAGGUGAAAUUCGCAGAUAUUCGGAAGAACACCAGUGGCGAAGGCGGCCAACUGGACCGGUAUUGACGCUGAGGUACGAAAGCGUGGGUAGCAAACAGGAUUAGAUACCCCUGUAGUC